rnacentral:rRNA from 1 species
AGAGUUUGAUCCUGGCUCAGGAUGAACGCUGGCGGCGUGCCUAAUACAUGCAAGUCGAACGGGGGUGCUUGCACCCUAGUGGCGAACGGGUGAGUAACACGUAGGUAACCUGCCUUCUAGAUUGGGAUACCCAGAGGAAACUUUGGCUAAUACCGGAUAACAACAACCGAGGCAUCUCGGAUGCUUGAAAGGCCCUUCACGGGGUCACUAGAAGAUGGGCCUGCGGCGCAUUAGCUAGUUGGUGAGAUAACAGCCCACCAAGGCGAGGAUGCGUAGCCGGACUGAGAGGUCGAUCGGCCACAUUGGAACUGAGACACGGUCCAAACUCCUACGGGAGGCAGCAGUAAGGAAUUUUCGGCAAUGGGGGAAACCCUGACCGAGCAACGCCGCGUGAGUGAUGACGGCCCUUUGGGUUGUAAAGCUCUGUUGUAAGAGACGAAUUGCUCAGGGAGGAAAUGCCUUGAGUUUGACGGUAUCUUACCAGAAAGCCACGGCUAACUACGUGCCAGCAGCCGCGGUAAUACGUAGGUGGCAAGCGUUAUCCGGAAUUAUUGGGCGUAAAGAGUGAGCAGGCGGCAGUUUAAGGUCUGAGUUUAAAGAAUGGGGGCUCACCCCCAUAAAGGCUUGGGAAACUGAACAGCUAAGAGUGCGAGAAGAGGUAAGUGGAACUCCAUGUGUAGCGGUGAAAUGCGUAAGAUUUAUGGAAGAACACCUGGGGGGGAAGGCGCUUUACUAGCUUCGAUACUGACGCUCAGUCACGAAGCGUGGGUAGCAAAUAGGAUUAGAUACCCUAGUAGUCC